UUACACGCGUAUUCGAAAAUCACAAGGAAAUAUGUGUGAUUUCAACAUAAAUUAUGCAACUAUAUGUACGUAUUGUACGUAUACGUAGAAUGUGUAAAACAAUCUCAAAUUUCGGGCGAUUACAACUUUCAACCCUUCUCUAGUUGUGUCACUACUCCGGUUAACGAAAAAAAUUAAGGCCCCGGAGUAGAAAACUGUUUAUUUACUAAGUAUCGUAAAAUCUUUUCUUGAAAAAUUGCAACACCUGGUAUAUUAUAAUAUAUAAUAGAGGUUUGUUUU